ensembl:misc_RNA 7SK 7SK RNA
GGAUGUGAGGGCGAUCUGGCUGCAACAUCUGUCACCCCAUUGAUCGCCAGGGUUGAUUCGGCUGAUCUGGCUGGCUAGGCGGGCGUCCCCUUCCUCCCUCACCGCUUCAUGUGCGUCCCUCCCGAAGCUGCGCGCUCGGUCGAAGAGGACGACCUUCCCCGAUAGAGGAGGACCGUUCUUCGGUCAAGGGUAUACGAGUAGCUGCGCUCCCCUGCUAGAACUUCCAAACAAGCUCUCAAGGUCCAAGUAUUAAAAAGUUCUUCCCUGGCCUUCGAUACCACACCGCUUAAAUUUAAUCCAUU